GAUGAAGAACGUAGCGAAAUGCGAUAAGUAAUGUGAAUUGCAGAAUUCAGUGAAUCAUCGAAUCUUUGAACGCACAUUGCGCCCUCUGGUAUUCCGGGGGGCAUGCCUGUUCGAGCGUCAUUACAACCCUCAAGCUCUGCUUGGUAUUGGGCUCUGCCGGUCCUGGCAGGCCUCAAAGUCAGUGGCGGUGCCAUCCGGCUCCAAGCGUAGUAGUUCUUCUCGCUUCGGAGGCCGCGGUGCGUGCUACCCAGCAACCCCCAAUUUUUUUCAGGUUGACCUCGGAUCAGGUAGGGAUACCCGCUGAACUUAAGCAUAUCAAUAAGCGGAGGA
rnacentral:misc_RNA from 1 species